CUCUGGACUGUAACUGACGCUGAGGCACGAAAGCGUGGGGAGCAAACAGGAUUAGAUACCCUGGUAGUCCACGCUGUAAACGAUGAGUACUAGGUGUCGGGGGUUACCCCCCUCGGUGCCGCAGCUAACGCAUUAAGUACUCCGCCUGGGAAGUACGCUCGCAAGAGGGAAACUCAAAGGAAUUGACGGGGACCCGCACAAGUAGCGGAGCAUGUGGUUUAAUUCGAAGCAACGCGAAGAACCUUACCUAAGCUUGACAUCCCAAUGACAUCUCCUUAAUCGGAGAGUUCCCUUC
rnacentral:rRNA from 1 species